ensembl:misc_RNA Y_RNA Y RNA
GGCUGAUCUGAUGGUAAUGGGUUAUCAGAAGUUAUUAGCACUAGUGUCACUAAAGUUGGUAUACAGCCCCCCACUGCUAAAUUUGACUGGCUUAAA